rnacentral:rRNA from 1 species
UACGUAGGUGACAAGCGUUGUCCGGAUUUACUGGGCGUAAAGGGCGCGUAGGCGGUCAGCACAAGUCAGUUGUGAAAUCUCCGGGCUUAACUCGGAAAGGUCAACUGAUACUGUGCGACUAGAGUGCAGAAGGGGCAACUGGAAUUCUCGGUGUAGCGGUGAAAUGCGUAGAUAUCGAGAGGAACACCUGCGGCGAAGGCGGGUUGCUGGGCUGACACUGACGCUGAUGCGCGAAAGCCAGGGGAGCGAACGGG